CCUACGGGGGGCAGCAGUGAGGAAUAUUGGUCAAUGGGCGUAAGCCUGAACCAGCCAAGUCGCGUGAGGGAUGAAGGCUCUAUGGAUCGUAAACCGCUUUUAUACGGGAAUAAAGUGUGGGACGUGUCCUGUUUUGUAUGUACCUUAUGAAUAAGGAUCGGCUAAUUCCGUGCCAGCAGCCGCGGUAAUACGGAGGAUCCGAGCGUUAUCCGGAUUUAUUGGGUUUAAAGGGUGCGUAGGCGGCCUGUUAAGUCAGCUGUGAAAGUCUGUGGCUCAACCCUAGAAUUGCCGUUGAAACUGGCAGGCUUGAGUAUGUUUGAGGCAGGCGGAAUGCGUGGUGUAGCGGUGAAAUGCUUAGAUAUCACGAAGAACCCCGAUUGCGAAGGCAGCCUGC
rnacentral:rRNA from 1 species